CCCUUAGAUGUUCUGAACCGCACGCGUGUUACACUGAUGCAUUCAACGAGCUUUACCUUGGCCGAGAGGCCUGGGAAAUCUUUUUAGCAUGCAUCGUGAUAGGGAUUGAUUAUUGCAAUUAUUAAUCAUGAACGAGGAAUUCCUAGUAAACGCAUUUCAUCAAAAUGCAUUGAUUACGUCCCUGCCCUUUGUACACACCGCCCGUCGCACCUACCGAUUGAGUGGUCCGGUGAAGUCUCGAGAUUGUGGCAAUCUCCUUUAUUGGAGUUUGACUGCGAGAACUUGCCUAAACCUUAUCAUUUAGAGGAAGGAGAAGUCGUAACA
rnacentral:rRNA from 1 species